ACUGAUUUCACUAAUUAACAUCUCUCAAGAGUAGAAUUGCAUUGCAAGUUGCAAGAAAAAUUGCACCGUGUAACAUGGCCUUAAAGCUAAAACAAAGUAAUUUUGAGAGGAACGCCAAAAAGAUUUUAGGUUUUGAACACUUUUCAUUGCAAAUACGUGACAUUGAAAACAAUUGCCUCUUAAUAAAUUAUGACUGUACAACUCAUCCAAUUUUGCC